UACGGAGGGUGCAAGCGUUGUCCGGAAUCACUGGGCGUAAAGGGCGCGUAGGCGGCUCAUGAAGGCUGUGGUGAAAGUCCGGGGCUCAACCUCGGAUCGGCCGUGGCAACUCGUGGGCUGGAGCACUGUAGAGGCGGGUGGAAUUCCGGGUGUAGCGGUGGAAUGCGUAGAGAUCCGGAAGAACACCAGUGGCGAAGGCGGCCCGCUGGGCAGUGGCUGACGCUGAGGCGCGACAGCGUGGGGGAGCAAACAGG
rnacentral:rRNA from 1 species